AUUCCCAUGGAGGCUCUCUGGUGAAUCAUGAUAACUAGUCGAAUCGACAGGCCUUGUGCCGGCGAUGGCUCAUUCAAAUUUCUUCCCUAUCAACUUUCGAUGUUUGGGUCUUGUCCAAACAUGGUGGCAACGGGUAACGGAGGGUUAGGGCUCGACCCCGGAGAAGGAGCCUGAGAAACGGCUACUACAUCCAAGGAAGGCAGCAGGCGCGCAAAUUACCCAAUCCCGACACGGGGAGGUAGUGACAAUAAAUACUGAUACAGGGCUCUUUUGGGUCUUGUAAUCGGAAUGAGUACAAUUUAAAUCCCUUAACGAGGAACAAUUGGAGGGCAAGUCUGGUGCCAGCAGCCGCGGUAAUUCCAGCUCCAAUAGCGUAUAUUAAAGUUGUUGUGGUUAAAAAGCUCGUAGUUGAACCUUGGGCCUGGCUGGCCGGUCCGCCUCACCGCGUGCACUGGUCCGGCCGGGCCUUUCCCUCUGCGGAACCCCAUGCCCUUCACUGGGUGUGGCGGGGAAACAGGACUUUUACUUUGAAAAAAUUAGAGUGCUCAAGGCAGGCCUAUGCUCGAAUACAUUAGCAUGGAAUAAUAGAAUAGGACGUGUGGUUCUAUUUUGUUGGGUUUCUAGGACCCGCCGUAAUGAUUAAUAGGGACAGUCCGGNGGCAUCAAGUAUUCAAUUGUCAGAGGUGAAAAUCUUGGGAUUUAUUGAANACUAAACUACUGCGAAAGCNUUUUCCAAGGGAUGNUUUCAUUAAUNAC
rnacentral:rRNA from 1 species